AAGGGACCAUAGUGUUCAUUUUUAAAGAAUUUGUAGCCCCUCCUAAUUUAUGUCAGAAACAAAGGAACUUAGCUAGGCUACUUCAUCCUCUCCCUACCUGCAUGUCCCACAUAAAAAUGAGGUGGGGGCUGCUGAAUACAAACUGUACAAUGAAGGAUGGCAGGAUCUAUAGACAUCUGCAUCUGAGUUUCAAAUUCUGUGGCAUGUAUGGUCAAACCAGAAUAAUUAACAAAUUCAUUAGAUUAUUCGUGAAUGUUAGGUAAAAGUCUGCUGUGUUUAAUCUAGCAAGCUUGAAAGAUUUAGUCAUCCGUAGUUAACCCAACCCCACUAGGCAACCAGUCUGUUUCAGAAUUUAUUCUAAUUUUACACACACAAAGAAUUAUAGGGAGAGAUAAAAAAAUCCUGUGUGUAUCUUACAUGCACAGUUUAAAAGGUUGAGUAGUACAAAUGUAAUUCAUUUAUAUUAGUGUAGCUUAUGAUAUAUAACUAUUAUAUUUCAUUUAUUUAAUUAUUUAUGCCAAGAAAUCGGUAUAAUUGAAAAGCAUAUAAGCUUGAAAAAUUUCAUUGCAUUGCAAGAAUGGGAGUGUUAAUAUAUAAGAGAAGAAUAUGAAAAGCAGCAUAGGCAAGCCCUGUAUAAUAUAAUAUACGGCUCCAAGAAAAGAUUAAAAAAAUGAAUGUGUUUUAGAUAUUCUGGGAAUUAAAUUGCUCUGUGGUCUUCAGCGUGUCACUAUAGAAGCACUACUAUUUUUAUUAUGUAAGAAAACAUUUUAUGGUAUUAACUCAAGCAGAGAAAAAGACAAGAGUAAGGGGAAUGGAUCCAGGAUGAGGAGAAGCCAAUAUACAAUUUUUUUAAAGCUGACUAAGAUAACAGAAUCAAAGAAAACAGAAGUGGGUAAAGAGAAGAUAAUGAGAUGCUGCUUCAAAAGCUGCAAGUAAAUCAAAGGAAGUGUUCCAUGCAACAUUUUAUUUCCGUACUGUUUUGCAAGACUAUUGUGGAGACUCAGAGAUACCAUGUGAUCUGUAACAGGCUCCCCAUGGAAAUGGUCAUGGCAUCAAGCCUGCCGGAGUUCAUUAAGUGUUUGGACAAUGCUCUCAGAUAUAGAGUUUGAUUUUUGGGUGGUCCUGUGUGGAGCCAGGAGUUGGACUCAAUGAUUUUUGUUGUUCCCUUCCAACUCAGGAUAUUCUAUGAUUCUAUAAGCUAUCAUGAUACCAUUUGCUGCUGUGAUCCCACCCUAAACAAUCACGUCUGUAAAAAAAAAAAAAAAAAGUAUAUUAUGUAUAUUACAGCUGACUGUAAUUCAACUUACUGAGACAUAUCUUUCCAGAAAAAAAGUAAGUCUCCAAAUGCCAUGUGCUCCAACAUUUUAUUUUCACAUAUACUUGUAAGAUUGUAUCUGCUGCUAGGUUUUCACACAGACCUUACACAAUUGCUGUUUCCUAUUGAAUACACGCUUACGUUUUAUCUAUGUGUGAUGUAAGCAUAGAGUGUAUUACCCAUGAUAAAGAACAGCAAACCAUUUCCACUGUCUGUUUCAAAUGUUAUUAUUAU
rnacentral:lncRNA from 1 species